rnacentral:rRNA from 1 species
CUACAUGAAGUUGGAAUCGCUAGUAAUCGCGAAUCAGAAUGUCGCGGUGAAUACGUUCCCGGGUCUUGUACACACCGCCCGUCACACCACGAGAGUUUACAACACCCGAAGUCAGUGGCCUAACCGCAAGGAGGGAGCUGCCUAAGGUGGGGUAGAUGAUUGGGGUGAAGUCGUAACAAGGUAUC